rnacentral:tRNA from 1 species
CUCCCUGUGGCUCAGUUGGUAGAGCAUGGUGUUUGCAACGCCAGGGUUGUGGGUUCGAUUCCCACGGGGGGGG